GUCGUCAGCUCGUGCCGUGAGGUGUCGGCUUAAGUGCCAUAACGAGCGCAACCCUUCUCCCCAGUUGCCAUCGGGUAAUGCCGGGCCCUCUGGGGACACUGCCAUCGUAAGAUGCGAGGAAGGUGGGGAUGACGUCAAAUCAGCACGGCCCUUACGUCCGGGGCUACACACGUGUUACAAUGGGGGGUACAGAGGGCCGCUGUCCGGUGACGGUCGGCCAAUCCCUAAAACCCCUCUCAGUUCGGACUGGAGUCUGCAACCCGACUCCACGAAGCUGGAUUCGCUAGUAAUCGCGCAUCAGCCAUGGCGCGGUGAAUACGUUCCCGGGCCUUGUACACACCGCCCGUCAAGCCAUGAAAGCCGGGGGUGCCUGAAGUCCGUGACCGCGAGGGUCGGCCUAGGGUAAAACUGGUGAUUGGGGCUAAGUCGUAACAAGGUAGCCGUACC
rnacentral:rRNA from 1 species